GUGUGGCCUGCUGGGCGGGAAUCCUGCCCCAGCACGCCGGUUCUCCCGGACAACCUGGGUUGCAGCAGCCAUCAGUGCCUGCCUGCCUGCCCGCCUGCCUCUCACCCGGAGAGGUCAAGGCUUUUCCGAAGGGCUUCUGGGGUUUCUCCGGGGCUUGUUGGCCUGCCACUGACUUAGCGGGGCGCCGCCUCCUUCGAAAGUCACCGAGCGUUCGUUACCCGUUGCUGCAUCACACGUCUACCCCCAGGAGCCGCGCAGCGCGGCCGGCGCUCGAGGUGAGCAGCUUCUAGAAGCCUCCAGACCAGACUGUGCCUGCCUCCCUCCCCUCCCAGCCAGCAGGCCCAGGCUGAGAAGUGGUGGGCCAGGGGGCGGGUCCUGGCUUUUUUCAGGUGGAGGACGUGAGGCCGGCGAGGGCCGUUCCCUCCCCGCUUCCUCGCAGGCUCUCCCUUCUCUCCACCCGGCGACUCCAGCGACUGCAUGUUGCCCCUGCCAUCUCCCGAGGCUCCACCGCCGCUCUGCCCAGACCCUGUGGGGCUCCAGCUGAAGAGCCGUCCCAGGUCGUGACCCCUGCGGGGCAGCUGCCCUCACAGGCUCUGCCCUCCUCCGAACGCAUACCCGAUUGGGGGACCGGCUGCUGAAACAGGAUGUCUCACGGUGCCCUCUGGAGCUCUGAUGCGACGGCGACCGAACUACGUGUCCUGCCUGCGCUA
rnacentral:lncRNA from 9 species